AGCGAACGCUGGCGGCAGGCUUAACACAUGCAAGUCGAGCGGGCAUAGCAAUAUGUCAGCGGCAGACGGGUGAGUAACGCGUGGGAACGUACCUUUUGGUUCGGACCAACACAGGGAAACUUGUGCUAAUACCGGAUAAGCCCUUACGAGGAAAGAUUUAUCGCCGAAAGAUCGGCCCGCGUCUGAUUAGCUAGUUGGUGAGGUAAUGGCUCACCAAGGCGACGAUCAGUAGCUGGUCUGAGAGGAUGAUCAGCCACAUUGGGACUGAGACACGGCCCAAACUCCUACGGGAGGCAGCAGUGGGGAAUAUUGGACAAUGGGCGCAAGCCUGAUCCAGCCAUGCCGCGUGAGUGAUGAAGGCCCUAGGGUUGUAAAGCUCUUUUGUGCGGGAAGAUAAUGACGGUACCGCAAGAAUAAGCCCCGGCUAACUUCGUGCCAGCCGCCGCGGUAA
rnacentral:rRNA from 1 species